rnacentral:rRNA from 1 species
CCUACGGGAGGCAGCAGUCGGGGAUCUUCCACAAUGGGCGCAAGCCUGAUGGAGCAACGCCGCGUGAAUGACGACGGCCUUCGGGUUGUAAAAUUCUGUCCUGGGGGAAGAAGAAAUGACGGCACCACGGGAGGAAGCCCCGGCUAACUACGUGCCAGCAGCCGCGGUAAU